GCAUCCAUGGCUGAAUGGUUAAAGCGCCCAACUCAUAAUUGGCGAAUUCGCGGGUUCGAUUCCUGCUGGAUGCA
rnacentral:tRNA from 1 species